rnacentral:tRNA from 1 species
ACCUUCUUAGCUUAAAUUAUUUAAAGUGUUAGUUUGAAGAGCUAAAGAUACUCUGAUGUA